CACACUUUCAGCACACCCCUAAACAACAACAACUGAAGAUUUAGAGUAGAAGGGUCACUGCAAAUAUUUCUCUCAUGUACUUCUUAUAGUCCCCUAAAGCGCUUCUUGAAGUUACUGCAUGAUGGAAAGGUGAUUUAAUUUUGUUUUUGUUUUAUUGAGACAGGGUCUCUCUAGACCCCUGGCUGACCUGGAACUUGCUGUAUAGACCAAACUGGCCUCAACUCAAGAGAGAUAUGCCUGCUUCAGCCUCCCAAGUGCUGAGAUUAGAGGGAGUUGUGUGCCACCACACCUGGCUGGAAAUGUGAUUUUAAGAUGUUUAAUCAAUUAAUUAAUUUUGUGUGUGUGUGUGUGUGUGUGUGGUGCAUAUGGAGGUGGGAGAACAACUUGUAGGAAUCAGUUCUCUCCUAUGUGGGUUCUGUGGAUUGACAAGCACCUAUACCCGCAAAACCCAUCUUGUCAGGCCAGGAAUGCUAAUUUUUAAAUGCAUACACAGUAAUAGACGCUCCUACACGUUCUUUUAUUUUAUUUAAUUUAGUUAAUUUAUUUAUUUAAUUAUUUUCGAACAGUGUCUCAUUUAAUUUAGCUCUGGCUGCCCUGGGACUUGUUGUGUAGCCCAGGCUAGCCCCAAACUCAUAGAGAUACACCUGCCUCUGACUCCUAAAUGCUGGGAUUAAAAAUAUGCAUCUCUAUGCCUAGCCUCUGCCCUUUUACUUUUUAUUUAUUUUUAAUUUUUUUUUUUUUUUGUUUUUUGUUUGUUUUGAGCCAGGGUUUCUCUGUAUAGCCCUGGCUGUCCUGGAACUCACUCUGUAGACCAGGCUGGCCUUGAACUCAGAAAUCCACCUGCCUCUGCCUCCCAAGUGCUGGGAUUAAAGGUCUACCCCCAACCCCCUACCCCAACGUUUUAAAGAGAAGUAUUUGGUUCUUUUCAUUUUACUAAUAAAAUACUUACAGCACCUUAUUUAGUUUCAUGCUUUGAUGACUGAACUUGGGCUUUUUUCGUUCAUUUUGUUUUGUUUUCUCGAUGUUGUGUAUGGAACCCAGCUUUGUAGAUGGGACUCUGUACCGGAGCUUCCUUGCUCCUUUGCAGUCCCCUCCCCAAGCCACAGUCAAUUGGUAAAGCCGCCUGGAAGGGGAUUGAUGUGCAUGCCCUGCCCCCUUAGACUGUUUUAGUUGGUGCUUGGAGGUGAGCUUGAGGAGGCUUCUGGGGCUGCUGGAGUUCUUUAGCAUU
rnacentral:lncRNA from 1 species